GCGGUGGUGGCGGAAUUGGUAGACGCGCCAGCUUGAGGGGCUGGUGGCUGCAAGGCUGUGCUGGUUCGAUUCCAGUCCACCGCACCA
rnacentral:tRNA from 2 species